AUUGUUAAUGUUAUUGUUGGGAAAGACAAAAAAGGCAGAAAGAUCCCAGAAUAUCUGAUCCAUUUUAAUGGCUGGAACAGAAGCUGGGAUAAGUGGGCAACUGAAGAUCAUGUGCUUCAUGAUACUGAUGAAAAUCGUAGAUUACAGCAUCAAUUGGCAAGAAAAGCUGUAGCUCGCCUGAGCAGCACAGGAAGAAAGAAGUGCUGCAGGUUGCCUGGUGUUGAUUGACUCUGUCUUAAAAGGCCUCCUCAUUGAUGAAAAAGAUGAAAAUGAUGAAAAUUCAUUAAGCAGUUCCUCUGGCAGCAGCAAAGGAUGAAGAAUAAGUGAAGAAAGUGAUAUUGAAGAAAAGACUGAAGUGAAAGAAGAACCAGAGCUUCAAACAAAAAGAGAAAUGGAAGAAACAACAGUAACUAUAGAAAUACCUGAAGUUCUGAAGCAGCAGAAGGAUGAUUGUUAUUACAUUAACAGGAGGAAAUGGUUAGUGAAACUUUCAUGCCAGACCAACAUCAUAAUGAUUUUGGAAGCAUUUUGCUCUCAAUGCAGCCUUUUCAGCCAAUGAGAGGCCUCGUCACCAUCAUGCUAUGCCACAUGCCAAUAUGAACGUGCAUUAUAUCCCAGAAGAAAAGAAUGUUGACCUUUUUAAGGAGAUGGUGGAUGGAUUAAGAAUAACCUUUGAUUACACUCUCCUGUUGGUUUUACUCUAUCCAUAUGAACAAACUCAGUAUAAAAAGGUGACUUUGCCGGGUGCGGUGGCUCACACCUGUAAUCUCAGCACUUUGGGAGGCCGAGGUGAGUGGAUCACCUGAGGUCAGGAGUUGGAGACCAGCCUGGCCAACAUGGCGAAACCUCGUCUCUAGUAAAAAUACAAAAAUUAGCCGGGCAUGGUGGCAGGAGCCUGUAAUCCCCAGCUACUCGGGAGGCUGAGGCAAGAAAAUCGCUUGAACCCAGGAGGCAGAGGUUGCAGUGAGCCGAGAUCACACCACUGCACUCCAGUCUGGGCAACAAGAGCGAGACUCCAUCUCAAAAAAAAAAAAAAAAAAAGGUGACUUUGUACAAGUUUUUUUUCCAAUUAAGGAAAGUGCCAUAAACACUAAUACGAUCCAGGAGGAACUCUCUCCCAGCCUGCCUUUGUUGAAUCCAUCCAUGCCACAGUCCACAGAGAGUCAGCCAACCAUUAGUGAACCAGCCACCCACAAAAGGCGCAAAGCUGAGUUGGAAGCAUUGCAGUCUCUGAGGUGGUCCCUGAGCCACACCACCAACUGUGACAGACUUUCUGACAGCAGCACCUCACCUCAGCCCAAGCGCCAGCAGCAGGACACAUCCGCCAGUAUAACCAAGCUGUUCCUGCACCUGGAAAAGAAGACACCCGUGCAUAGCAGAUUGUCUUCACCUAUUCCUCUGACUCCUAGCAAGGAAGGAAGUACAGUGUUCGCUGGCUUUGAAGGGAGAAAAACUAAUGAAAUGAACGAGGUCCUGUCCUGAAGCUUAUGCCUGACAAUUACCCACCAGGUGACCAGCCGCUUCCACCCUCUUACAUUUAUGGGGUAUAACAUUUGCUGCGAUUGUUUGUAAAACUUCCAGAAAUCCUUGGAAAGAUGUCCUUUUCUGAGAAAAAUCUGAAGGCUUUGUUGAAGCACUUUGAUCUCUAUUUGAGGUUUUUAGCAGAAUACCGUGAUUACUUUUUCCCAGAGUCAGCUUGUGUCGCUGCCUGUGAGGUGCAUUACAGCAGCAAGAAUCUCCGGGCAAUUUAU
rnacentral:lncRNA from 1 species